CACUUCACUACACCUGUACCCUCAGUACAUGAUUUUAUUUCUCACCAACAUUGACAGUAUUUGAGAGUAGAAAAACUUUAGCAUUAAAGUAAAAGGGCCCUUGUAUUAAUGCUCAAGUUUGUACAUAUAUUUACAGUCAGCACUCCAAGCGAUAACGUUGCGAAAUUAUAAUCAAUGGUAUUGAAUUUUUGACUU